AGUGAACGCUGGCGGUAGGCCUAACACAUGCAAGUCGAACGGCAGCACAGUAAGAGCUUGCUAUUACGGGUGGCGAGUGGCGGACGGGUGAGGAAUACAUCGGAAUCUACUUUUUCGUGGGGGAUAACGUAGGGAAACUUACGCUAAUAACGCAUACGACCUACGGGUGAAAGCAGGGGAUCUUCGGACCUUGCGCGAUUGAAUGAGCCGAUGUCGGAUUAGUUAGUUGGCGGGGUAAAGGCCCACCAAGGCGACGAUCCGUAGCUGGGCUGAGAGGAUGGUCAGCCACACUGGAACUGAAACACGGUCCAGACUCCUACGGGAGGGAGCAGUGGGGAAUAUUGGACAAUGGGCGCAAGCCUGAUCCAACCAUACCACGUGGGUUAAGAAGACCUUCGGGUUGUAAAGCCCUUUUGUUGGGAAAGAAAAGCAGCAGGUUAAUACCCCGCUGUUCUGACGGUACCCAAAGAAUAAGCACCGGCUAACUUCGUG
rnacentral:rRNA from 1 species